rnacentral:rRNA from 1 species
AACGCUGGCGGCGUGCUUAACACAUGCAAGUCGAACGGUGAACCAGAGCUUGCUCUGGGGAUCAGUGGCGAACGGGUGAGUAACACGUGGGCAACCUGCCCCAGACUCUGGGAUAACCUCGGGAAACCGAUGCUAAUACCGGAUACGACCACUUCGGACAUCCGAUGGUGGUGGAAAGUUUUUCGGUCUGGGAUGGGCCCGCGGCCUAUCAGCUAGUUGGUGGGGUAAUGGCCUACCAAGGCGACGACGGGUAGCCGGCCUGAGAGGGCGACCGGCCACACUGGAACUGAGACACGGUCCAGACUCCUACGGGAGGCAGCAGUGGGGAAUAUUGCACAAUGGGCGAAAGCCUGAUGCAGCGACGCCGCGUGAGGGACGACGGCCUUCGGGUUGUAAACCUCUUUCAGCAGGGACGAAGCGAAAGUGACUGUACCUGCAGAAGAAGCACCGGCUAACUACGUG